UCUAGAAGCUUCGGCAAUGGGGGAAACCCUGACCGAGCGACGCCGCGUGCAGGACGAAGGUCUUCGGAUCGUAAACUGCUUUCGCUGGGGGAGAAAUGCCUCGAGGUGAAUAAUCUCGAGGCUAGACGGUACCCAGUAAAGAAGCUCCGGCUAAGUCCGUGCCAGCAGCCGCGGUAAUACGGGCGGAGCGAGAGUUGUUCGGAUUCAUUGGGUGUAAAGGGUGCGAAGGCGGUCGUCUAAGUCGGAGGUGAAAUGUCUACGGCUUAACCGAG
rnacentral:rRNA from 1 species